UGUACCAGCUCAAGCCUGGCUGGGAGGAGGUUGGCUCAAAUUGGAAGCUGCCCAAUUCUGACCCACUGUGCUCUGACCUCUUGGUGCAGGUCCGCCAGGUCCCCCAGGAGGUGUGGUGGUGAGGGACAUUGGCGACACCACCAUCCAGCUCAGCUGGAGCCGUGGCUUCGACAACCACAGCCCCAUCGCUAAGUACACCCUGCAAGCUCGCACUCCACCUGCAGGGAAGUGGAAGCAGGUUCGGACCAAUCCUGCAAACAUCGAGGGCAAUGCCGAGACUGCACAGGUGCUGGGCCUCACCCCCUGGAUGGACUAUGAGUUCCGGGUCAUAGCCAGCAACAUUCUGGGCACUGGGGAGCCUAGUGGGCCCUCCAGCAAAAUCCGGACCAGGGAAGCAGCCCCCUCGGUGGCACCCUCAGGACUCAGCGGAGGAGGUGGAGCCCCCGGAGAGCUCAUCGUCAACUGGACGCCCAUGUCACGGGAGUACCAGAACGGAGACGGCUUCGGCUACCUGCUGUCCUUCCGCAGGCAGGGCAGCACUCACUGGCAGACCGCCCGGGUGCCUGGCGCCGAUGCCCAGUACUUUGUCUACAGCAACGAGAGCGUCCGGCCCUACACGCCCUUUGAGGUCAAGAUCCGCAGCUACAACCGCCGCGGGGAUGGGCCCGAGAGCCUCACUGCACUCGUGUACUCAGCUGAGGAAGAGCCCAGGGUGGCCCCUACCAAGGUGUGGGCCAAAGGGGUCUCAUCCUCAGAGAUGAACGUGACCUGGGAACCCGUGCAGCAGGACAUGAAUGGUAUCCUCCUGGGGUAUGAGAUCCGCUACUGGAAAGCUGGGGACAAAGAAGCAGCUGCGGACCGAGUGAGGACAGCAGGGCUGGACACCAGUGCCCGAGUCAGCGGCCUGCAUCCCAACACCAAGUACCAUGUGACCGUGAGGGCCUACAACCGGGCUGGCACUGGGCCUGCCAGCCCUUCUGCCAACGCCACGACCAUGAAGCCCCCUCCGCGGCGACCUCCUGGCAACAUCUCCUGGACUUUCUCAAGCUCCAGUCUUAGCAUUAAGUGGGACCCUGUGGUCCCUUUCCGAAAUGAGUCUGCAGUCACCGGCUAUAAGAUGCUGUACCAGAAUGACUUACACCUGACUCCCACGCUCCACCUCACCGGCAAGAACUGGAUAGAAAUCCCAGUGCCUGAAGACAUUGGCCAUGCCCUGGUACAAAUUCGGACCACAGGGCCCGGAGGGGAUGGGAUCCCUGCAGAAGUCCACAUCGUGAGGAAUGGAGGUGCUGCUCCUCCCCUACCCUUAUCCCCUCGAGAGAUUCAGGAUCCACCCAGAUACCUGAGAGGAUCAUUCCCACCCAGGCCAACUCCAAUCUCUACCCGCAAAGGAAAGUGGAAGGCAGGCAGGAACCAAGUGCAAAGUAGUCUUAGAACUGCCUCGCCGCCACCUUUCUACCCAGCCCCCAGAACAUCCCCGAGGGCCAGGGAAGGGAGCAGGGUGCAGGGGGAGGCUGAGGACCAACCAGCAAUAGCAAAGGGCCUACAAAGCACCGUAGGAGUCGGACUGAGAAGACCACCCAGCUGUCCGCUCCCAGGCCUGCAGCUGGCCCUGCACAAGCAUGAUGGUGGAGAACAUGGCAGUCCGCCCAGCACCACACCCUGGCACCGUCAUUUCCCACUCCGUGGCGAUGCUGAUCCUCAUAGGCUCCCUGGAGCUCUGAUCCUGGAACCCCUCCCUCUGCGCCGCAGCUGGACGCCACCUCCGACGGACACAGCCAGCCCCUUCCUGCUGCCAAGGUGGCCUGACACUGUGCCAGAGAGUGGCUGGUUUUAAAUACCUACUUUAAACAGUGCCCUUUUUGUAGGAGGUAGGAUAUUUUAUAUUCUGCCGCAGGAUAGAACCCACGCAAGGAUUUUCUUUAAAUUGAGAGGCACCAGGCAGUAACUUCCAUGAUGACACUGACGCCUAUACCUGAGCUCUAGGCUGCCUGGAGGGAAGGAACAGGCCCAUGGGAAGAAGGGGGUUUUAAAAACAUGUCUUCAACUCAGCAGAGAUGGAAUUCUGGGACCCUAUACGGACUCCGCCACUUGAGAGCAGUCCUAGGCCCGGCAGGAACACCAGACAUGAACAGGUUGAAGAACUGGAGCGAAGUGCACACCUCACCAUCUUUCAGUCUAAGGAAGAAGGGCAAGCCCUGGGACCAAGAACUCUCCUGCCUUCUCCCUUGAGCAGCAGCAAGGACCCUGACGCUGUCCCCGAUAACUCCCUAGGGGCUCCUGCCUGCCCAAGCGGCUGAGAACCAGCGCCCCGAUGCCUGAGGCUGGGAGCCUGAGCCCCUUCAGCUUUGAGGGGGGUGAUACUCCAGGCUGUUUGGGGUGGGAGCCAAAAAAAGUUGAGAGGCCAGGGCCCUUGGUGGAAAGGGGCACCAGCCUUGGUCUGAGAUAGUCACAACCCAGGUGACGAUGCCCUCUCAGCCAACACUGCCAACCUGACCCUGUCAUCCCGAUUGACAGCGCCACUUCAGGUGGCUGGGUGACUAAAGGGCUUGUCUUGGUGGGGUCUCCCACCCCUCCAAGACCCAUUCUGCACAGUCCCUCCAGGGUUUGGGCAGGAGAUGGCCAAUCAUGCGCCCACCUCUCCCUCCAGUGCUGCCUGCAGUCAGCUCGGCCUCCCCGACCUGCAGCCCCAGACUCUGCUCUCCCAGCACUGACUCACUCCUGCCUGGGAGGGGAAUGCAGCAUUCAUGCUGUGUGUCCUGGUAUUGGGAGGUUUCUGGGAAGGGCAGAGGAUAAAUGUGGCCCUGCCUGCUCCCAGGUAUACCUAGGACCACCUGGCCAGAUCCGCUCCCAGACGGCCUUGGACUGCUUGCAUUUCCCCGGAGAAAAAGGGGUUAAUAAAUGGGC
rnacentral:sRNA from 1 species